rnacentral:rRNA from 1 species
CGGAAGGGCUAGCGUUGUUCGGAAUUACUGGGCGUAAAGCGCGCGUAGGCGGCUUGGCAAGUGAGGCGUGAAAGUCCUGGGCUCAACCCGGGGACGGCGCUUCAGACUGCUUGGCUUGAGUCCGGAAGAGGGUGGUGGAAUUCCGAGUGUAGAGGUGAAAUUCGUAGAUAUUCGGAGGAACACCGGUGGCGAAGGCGGCCACCUGGUCCGGAACUGACGCUGAAGUGCGAAAGCGUGGGGAGCAAACAGGAUU